rnacentral:rRNA from 1 species
CACGUAGGGCGCAAGCGUUGUCCGGAAUUAUUGGGCGUAAAGAGCUCGUAGGCGGUCUGUUACGUCUGCUGUGAAAACCCAGGGCUUAACCCUGGGCUUGCAGUGGAUACGGGCAGACUAGAGGCAGGUAGGGGAGAAUGGAAUUCCCGGUGUAGCGGUGAAAUGCGCAGAUAUCAGGAAGAACACCCGUGGCGAAGGCGGCCCUCUGGACCAGUACUGACGCUGAGGCACGAAAGCGUGGGGAGCAAACAGG